ACCUCGGAUCAGGUAGGGAUACCCGCUGAACUUAAGCAUAUCAAUAAGCGGAGGAAAAGAAACCAACAGGGAUUGCCUCAGUAACGGCGAGUGAGG
rnacentral:rRNA from 1 species